rnacentral:rRNA from 1 species
UCCUACGGGAGGCAGCAGCAGGGAAUAUUGUGCAAUGAACGAAAGUUUGACACAGCGACACCGCGUGUGGGAUGACGGAUCUAGGUUUGUAAACCACUUUCAGGAGGGAAGAAAAUGACGGUACCUCCACAAGAAGCCCCGGCCAACUACGUGCCAGCAGCCGCGGUAAUACGUAGGGGGCGAGCGUUGUCCGGAUUUAUUGGGCGUAAAGAGCUCGUAGGCGGUUCAACAAGUCGGUCGUGAAAGUUCAGGGCUCAACCCUGAAAUGUCGAUCGAUACUGUUGUGACUAGGAUACGGUAGAGGUGAGUGGAAUUCCGAGUGUAGCGGUGAAAUGCGUAGAUAUUCGGAGGAACACCAAUUGCGAAGGCAGCUCACUGGACCGCUAUCGACGCUGAGGAGCGAAAGCUAGGGGAGCAAACAGGAUUAGAUACCCUGGCAGUCCUAGCUGUAAACGAUGGAUACUAGACGUAGGAACUGGAUUGACGGUUUCUGUGUCGUAGCUAACGCGUUAAGUAUCCCGCCUGGGGAGUACGGUCGCAAGACUAAAACUCA